UGCAGUCGAACGAAGUAGCAAUACUUAGUGGCAGACGGGUGAGUAACAUGUAGGUAUCUACCCUAUGGCCUGGAAUAACACGAGGAAACUUGUGCUAAUACUGGAUAAGUCUUUACGAAGAAAGCUUUAUGCACCAUUGGAUGAGCCUGCACUUGAUUAGUUUGUUGGUAGGGUAAUGGCCUACCAAGACUUUGAUCAAUAGCUGAUUUGAGAGGAUGAUCAGCCACAUUGGGACUGAGACACGGCCCAAACUCCUACGGGAGGCAGCAGUGGGGAAUCUUGCACAAUGGAGGAAACUCUGAUGCAGCGAUGCCGCGUGAGUGAAGAAGGCCCUUGGGUUGUAAAGCUCUUUCGUCGGGGAAGAAAAUGACUGUACCCGAAUAAGAAGGUCCGGCUAACUUCGUGCCAGCAGCCGCGGUAAUACGAAGGGACCUAGCGUAGUUCGGAAUUACUGGGCUUAAAGAGUUCGUAGGUGGUUGAAAAAGUUGGUGGUGAAAUCCCAGAGCUUAACUCUGGAACUGCCAUCAAAACUUUUCAGCUAGAGUAUGAUAGAGGAAAGCAGAAUUUCUAGUGUAGAGGUGAAAUUCGUAGAUAUUAGAAAGAAUACCAAUUGCGAAGGCAGCUUUCUGGAUCAUUACUGACACUGAGGAACGAAAGCAUGGGUAGCGAAGAGGAUUAGAUACCCUCGUAGUCCAUGCCGUAAACGAUGUGUGUUAGACGUUGGAAAUUUAUUUUCAGUGUCGCAGUGAAAGCGAUAAACACACCGCCUGGGGAGUACGACCGCAAGGUUAAAACUCAAAUGAAUUGACGGGGACCCGCACAAGUAGUGGNNCAUGUGGUUUAAUUCGAAGAUNCGCGCAGAANCUUACCNACACUUGACNUGUUCGUCGCGACUUUA
rnacentral:rRNA from 1 species